CGCGAAAAUAUCCCAUUAAUAUGGAAACACGCGAUCCUGGGUUGUGGGUUGGGUCGACGCGCGGGUUAUGGGGGCUAAACGGCACUGUUUCACCUGGUAUAAAUAUAUAAAAAAAAUAGAAAAAGAAAGAAAAAAAACUAUCCUAUUCAGUUUUUUAAAAAAAACAGAGAAAGCUCUUAGCUUUUCUCUCUCAGUCCCCCCAUCUGGCCUAGGGUUUUGGCCUUAGCCGCC
rnacentral:lncRNA from 1 species